GAUGAACGCUGGCGGCGUGCCUAAUACAUGCAAGUCGAGCGAACGGACGAGAAGCUUGCUUCUCUGAUGUUAGCGGCGGACGGGUGAGUAACACGUGGAUAACCUACCUAUAAGACUGGGAUAACUUCGGGAAACCGGAGCUAAUACCGGAUAAUAUUUUGAACCGCAUGGUUCAAAAGUGAAAGACGGUCUUGCUGUCACUUAUAGAUGGAUCCGCGCUGCAUUAGCUAGUUGGUAAGGUAACGGCUUACCAAGGCAACGAUGCAUAGCCGACCUGAGAGGGUGAUCGGCCACACUGGAACUGAGACACGGUCCAAACUCCUACGGGAGGCAGCAGUAGGGAAUCUUCCGCAAUGGGCGAAAGCCUGACGGAGCAACGCCGCGUGAGUGAUGAAGGUCUUCGGAUCGUAAAACUCUGUUAUUAGGGAAGAACAUAUGUGUAGUAACUGUGCACAUCUUGACGGUACCUAAUCAGAAAGCCACGGCUAACUACGUG
rnacentral:rRNA from 1 species